AGUGAACGCUGGCGGUAGGCCUAACACAUGCAAGUCGAACGGAAAGACAGUAAGCGCUUGCCCUUACGGUUGGCGACUGGCGGACGGGUGAGGAGUACAUCAGCAUCUACUUUUUCGUGGGGGAUUUCGUGGGGCAACUUCUGCUACUACCGAAUACGACCUACGGGUGAAAGCAGGAGUUAUUGGCACUUUUCCUGACUCAUUUAGCCGAUUCCGGAUUAGCUAGUUGGCGGGGUAAAGGCCCACCAAGGCGACGAUGCGUAGCUGGUCUGAGAGGAUGAUCAGCCACACUGGAACUGAGACACGGUCCAGACUCCUACGGGAGGCAGCAGUGGGGAAUAUUGGACAAUGGGCGCAAGCCUGAUCCAGCAAUGCCGCGUGGGUGAAGAAGGCCUUCGGAUUGUAAAGCCCUUUUGUUGGGAAAGAAAAGCAGUGUGUGAAUACCCGGCUGUUCUGACGGUACCCAAAGAAUAAGCACCGGCUAACUUCGUG
rnacentral:rRNA from 1 species